UUGUUACAUUGCAGGUCAGUCCACGUCUUGCAAAGGAUAGAGAGAGAUUUCCUCCAAACAACAUCCUUUUUAUGUUAUUUGGGACAGGAUUGCUUUGGAUGAGCUGGACAUGCUUUAAUGGAGGAGAUCCUUGUGUAGUGAGCACUGUUAAUGGAGGAGAUCCUUGUGUAGUGAGCACUGAUGCUUCUUUGGCAGUCUUAAAUACUGUGGACUGGGAGUGUUUUCACUAUGGACUCAAGCAGUGUUUCUCACACUCACAAUCCACAGAAAAAUAUCAGAAUGUCUG
rnacentral:lncRNA from 1 species